rnacentral:rRNA from 1 species
GGCUUAACACAUGCAAGUCGAACGGUAGCAGGUAAGUACUUGUACUUAUGCUGACGAGUGGCGGACGGGUGAGUAAUGCUUGGGGAUCUGGCUUAUGGAGGGGGAUAACGACGGGAAACUGUCGCUAAUACCGCGUAGAAUCGAGAGAUGAAAGUGUGGGACCUUCGGGCCACAUGCCAUAGGAUGAACCCAAGUGGGAUUAGGUAGUUGGUAGGGUAAUGGCCUACCAAGCCGACGAUCUCUAGCUGGUCUGAGAGGAUGACCAGCCACACCGGGACUGAGACACGGCCCGGACUCCUACGGGAGGCAGCAGUGGGGAAUAUUGCGCAAUGGGGGCAACCCUGACGCAGCCAUGCCGCGUGAAUGAAGAAGGCCUUCGGGUUGUAAAGUUCUUUCGGUGACGAGGAAGGUUGUUGUGUGAAUAGCACAACAAAUUGAC